UUAGGUCGACCCGCUGAAUUUAAGCAUAUCACUAAGCGGAGGAAAAGAAACUAACAAGGAUUCCCCUAGUAACGGCGAGUGAACAGGGAAAAGCCCAUGCAUGAAUCCUGCGGCGUGAUGUCGUUGGGAAAUGUAGCGUAUGGGUGCCUUGCACGGUGGAUGUUGUUCGCCCCGAAACGCACAUGAUUGUGCUCCCAUGGAGGGUGCGAGGCCCGUAGGGUGUGGACAGCAUUUGCUUGCGAGGUUCCUAAGAGUCGGGUUGUUUGAGAUUGCAGCCCAAAUCAGGUGGUAAACUCCAUCUAAGGCUAAAUAUAACACUAGUCCGAUAGCAAACAAGUACCGUGAGGGAAAGUUGAAAAGAACUUUGAAGAGAGGGUUCAAUAGUACGUGAAAUCGCUCAAAGUAAAAGCGGAUGGAGCCGAAAUUGGUCCGGUGGUUAACGUUUGUCGGUUGGCUGUGUUUUUGCACUGGUCACCGAUGGGCUAAUAUUCCCCGGGCCUCAGCCAUGAACAAUGAACGUAGAGGCGGUAUACUUAGGAGAAAGGUAGCGUAGUGCUGGUUUUCCAGUCUACGUGUUAUAGACUCCUGAGGUGGCCGACACUCUGUUUAUUGGGAAGUGAAAGCGGUCUGAGUCCCUCAAUGGGACGCACAAACUUGUCAGUCCUAGGUGCCGUCAGGCCGACUUAUUCCACUUUUGUGGGUAAGAUUGUUUGGCGCGUUGUCUUGGAAUUUGUAUAGGUCCCUGUGCGUAUCAGUGCCGAUAUUCAAUGGCUUACCAAAGUAGGUAGUCCAUCCGACCCGUCUUGAAACACGGACCAAGGAGUGCAGGUCAUGCGCAAGUCAAUGGGAAGUACGAAACCCAGAGGCGAAUUGAAAGAAAAGGCAUUGUUUUUGCAGUGCUGAGGUGAGAUGUGGAAGGUUGUUCGCAAGGACGCUGACCACCGCAUCACCGGCUCGUCCCAUUCUUUUUAAGAGGGGCGACGCAAGAGCGCAUGGCCUACGACCCGAAAGAUGGUGAUCUAUGCUUGUGUAGGCUGAAGCCAGGGGAAACUCUGGUGGAGGGCCGAAGCGGUUCUGACGUGCAAAUCGAUCGUCAAACAUGAGUAUAGGGGCGAAAGACUAAUCGAACCAUCUAGUAGCUGGUUCCCUCCGAAGUUUCCCUCAGGAUAGCUGGCAUAUGAAUAUCAGUUUUAUCUGGUAAAGCAAAUGAUUAGAGGUACUGGGGACGUAAUGUCUUCAACCUAUUCUCAAACUUUAAAUGGGUAAGAAGUCUCACUCACUUAACUGGAGUGCUGACAUUGAAUGAAUAUGUGCCAAGUGGGCCAUUUUUGGUAAGCAGAACUGGCGCUGUGGGAUGAACCAAACGUAAAGAUAAGGUGCCAAACGUUUCGCUCAUCAGACACCAUAAAAGGUGUUGGUUGAUAUAGACAGCAGGACGGUGGCCAUGGAAGUCGGAAUCCGCUAAGGAGUGUGUAACAACUCACCUGCCGAAUCAACCAGCCCUGAAAAUGGAUGGCGCUGGAGCGAAAGACCUAUACUUUACCCUUGUGGCAGUUUCCCGCCAAGGAUGCCACAAGGAGUAGGAGGGCGACGGGAUAAGCGUCGAAGGUGCCGUUGUAAAACGGGCUGGAGCUAUCUCGUGUGCAGAUCUUGGUGGUAGUAGCAAUUAUUCAAGUGAAAACCUUGAAGACUGAAGUGGAGAAGGGUUCC
rnacentral:rRNA from 1 species